AAGUCUCAAUUUGCAUUCACUAUUCAACCGCUGACACUGACAGGUAAUGGUGGAACUCCUUACAAGUUACAAUGUUCAUGGAUGAAGACUAGUAAGCGAAAAGUUUCAUCCGGUAUGUAGAUCAUGAGAUGUACCACACUGUGUUCUGGAAGUCCUGAGAAGUGCCCUCUUUGCUAGUACGCAUUGUGUCCUGCAAACAAAGACAGGUGCUGAAAGGUGGUUACAAGCUGCAUCACGUGUCUUCCGCGGUGUUUUACUGGAUCGCCCAACUUGGUGUUUGCGUAUAUGCCGGUCGGAGGCCUUCGUGAUUUGGUGUUGACUGGUUCGUAGUUUGACUACUUGGCGUGUCUUUGUAAAGGAUGGACUGGUAUCAUUCUGCUGUCCGAUGUUCUCUCGCGAUACGUAAAUCGAUAUAUCUACCAUGCCUGAUGUAUGAGCGGUAUUGCGUUUCGUGGAAGUCAAUGAUGUGGAAGGCGUUUUCUUCUGUUGGCCUUAUUUGAAUUUAUCAUUCCCUGCACUUCUGUCAAACAUUAGUUGCUGAUGAAUACCGACCGUUGGUAGCUGCUUGGUACUGGCGAUCAACUUUCGCAGUUGUAAUUUACUUCACAUCUAUCAUAUUUUCAUUUACUCAAUGAUGCUAAUCUUUGAUCCGUUUAGUCCAAAUUUUCAUGAGGCUGUGUCCAUUUUUAAAUGUUCUUUUUUGUAACAUGUUGGUUUAGUUGCGUUGAAAUUUAAACGAAAGUCAAUAUAUGACAUGUUAUAUAAAAUUAUUUUUUAUAUGAAGUGCUUUAUAAUGUGAAAAUUCUAAUAUUUUUCUGUUAGUAUGUAUAAAUGUUUAAUCUAGAAUUAUUGUGUAAUAUCCGAAAAUUCUUUUAAGCAACAACGAAUUAAACAAAUCACAGCACGAA
rnacentral:lncRNA from 1 species